rnacentral:RNase_P_RNA from 1 species
AGCAGGCAUCGGAUAGCUACCCCUCACUUGCUUAAUUGCAAGUGAGGGGAGGAAAGUCCGAACACAGAGCCUUUAAAUAGGCAAAAGUAGAGGGUAACGCCCUCCCCGAGCAAUCGGGAGUUGCGAACAGAAACGACCCGGUUAAGUCCGGCUGAAACGGCUAAAUACUUACUCCUGUGCAAGAUCGUGUCCAGCCCCACUUUUCAAAAAGUGGAGCUGGGAGAAUCGCUUGAGCCUAUCAGUAAUGACGGGCCUAGAUAAAUUGCUAUCCCUCUCGUAUGCUUAAUCGCAUGUAAGGGGCACAGAAUUCGGCUUAUAGAUGCCUGCAAAAA